CCUACGGGAGACAGCAGUGGGGAAUAUUGCACAAUGGGGGGUACCUUGAUGCAGCAAAGUCGCGUGGGUGAUGAAGUACUCCGGUAUGUUAAGCCCUGUUAGCCGGGAAGAAAAUGACGGUACCUGACCAAGACGCUCCGGCUAACUACGUGCCAGCAGCCGCGGUAAUACGUCGGGGGCCCGCGUUAUCCGGAUUUACUGGGUGUAAAGGGAGCGUAGACGGCAAGGCAAGUCUGGAGUGAAAGCCCGGGGCCCAACCACGGGACUGCUUUGGAAACUGUGUUGCUGGAGUGCAGGAGGGGUAAGCGGAAUGCGUGGUGUAGCGGUGAAAUGCGUAGAUAUUAGGAGGAACACCGGUGGCGAAGGCGGCUUACUGGACUGUAACUGACGUUGAGGCUCGAAGGCGUGGGGAGCAAACAGGAUUAGAUACCCGGGUAGUC
rnacentral:rRNA from 1 species